rnacentral:rRNA from 1 species
AGAGUUUGAUCCUGGCUCAGAGCGAACGCUGGCGGCAGGCCUAAUACAUGCAAGUCGAACGGCUCUUCGGAGCAGUGGCGGACGGGUGAGUAACGCGUGGGAACGUGCCCUUUGGUUCGGAACAACACAGGGAAACUUGUGCUAAUACCGAAUGUGCCCUUCGGGGGAAAGAUUUAUCGCCAUUGGAGCGGCCCGCGUUGGAUUAGCUAGUUGGUGGGGUAAAGGCCCACCAAGGCUACGAUCCAUAGCUGGUCUGAGAGGAUGAUCAGCCACACUGGGACUGAGACACGGCCCAGACUCCUACGGGAGGCAGCAGUAGGGAAUCUUGCGCAAUGGGCGAAAGCCUGACGCAGCCAUGACGCGUGAAUGAUGAAGGUCUUAGGAUUGUAAAAUUCUUUCACCGGGGAAGAUAAUGACGGUACCCGGAGAAGAAGCCCCGGCUAACUUCGUGCCAGCAGCCGCGGUAAUACGAAGGGGGCUAGCGUUGCUCGGAAUUACUGGGCGUAAAGGGCGCGUAGGCGGACAUUUAAGUCAGAGGUGAAAGCCCAGGGCUCAACCUUGGAAUUGCCUUUGAUACUGGAUGUCUUGAGUUCGGGAGAGGUGAGUGGAAUGCCGAGUGUAGAGGUGAAAUUCGUAGAUAUUCGGCGGAACACCAGUGGCGAAGGCGACUCACUGGCCCGAUACUGACGCUGAGGCGCGAAAGCGUGGGGAGCAAACAGGAUUAGAUACCCCGGUAGUCCAA